UUAAUGGGGGUAUAUUUAGUUAACGUUAUUAGAUUUAAAGUACUAGAAUAAAUUUAUUGUUAUAACUGUGAAGAUAAAAUCGUAUAAGCGAAGGAGAUACCUUUUGUAUAAGGGGCUUAUAAAUCUGUUUGAUAGUGGGUUCCCGAACAAAAGAAAGUUAAGUAGUUUAAUCAGUGUUGUUGCAUUAAUAUUAUUAAAUUCUAUUUGGUAAAGAUAUUUUAUCGUUCUUUUAGAUAUCUGGUUCGUUGUGAUUAAAUACUUUAGCUCAUUAGGUUGGUUUGUCUUAUUUUGUGGGGAGCUACUUGGUGAGUAAGCUUUAAGGGGUAAUCUCUUAGGGCGAGUGGUUGAAAUAAUCAAGGUGUCAUUGUUACAGAUUGUAGGCUUAAUAAUAGCUUCAAUGUAUAAUGUUAUUAUAUUUUUAUGGUGAAAUGGGAUUUAAUAGGUGAUUUUUUGCGUUAGGCGAAAUAAGAGGAGUUGAUAAUUUUGUUUUAUACUGUGAGCAUUAGUAAGGUAUUAUGGUAAUAUUAGUUGAGAUGUUAUUUAAGAUUUAUGAAUUAGGCAAAUAGUCCCUAAGCUGUUUAACAAAAACAUUUCCUUUGGUUGUAGUUGUAAGGUAAGGUCUGCCCACUGUGUAGAUGAAGGGCCGCGGUAUUUUGACCGUGCUAAGGUAGCAUAAUCAUUAGUCUCUUAAUUAGGGAAUAGAAUGAAUGAUUUAAUUGGGGGCUGCUUUAUUAGUUUUAGUGGUUUGAAUUUUGAGUUUAAGUGAAAAUACUUAAAGGGUCCUAAUAGACGAUAAGACCCUAUAGAUCUUUAUUUCGUUUACGUUUCAGUGAUAUGGGGGUGUUACGGAAGUGUGAGCGGAGUUUUAUUGGGGAAAUAGAAGAAUAAGCAAAAUUUCUUUAUGAAUGUGGAGAGGAGUCUGUUAAAUGAUCUAGAAUUUUAAAUAUCUAAAAAGAUACCUUAGGGAUAACAGCGUUAUUAGUAUAGAGAGUUCUUAUUAAUAUACUUGUUUGCGACCUCGAUGUUGAAUUAAGAUACUUUAGUGGAGCAGCGUUUAUUGGAGGGGGUUUGUUCAACCUUUAAAUUCUUACAUGAUUUGAGUUCAAACCGGCGUGAGCCAGGUUGGUUUCUAUCUUUAGGUUGGAUUAAGGUUAAUUAGUACGAAAGGACCAUUAAGCUUGAAUAAUUUAUGUUG
rnacentral:rRNA from 1 species